AGGGACGUAAUUGGGUAUAUAAGAGACUUAAAUACUAGUAAUAAUAACUGGGCUUAAGCAUUUUGAGCCGAUGUUUGGGACCAACGAGUUAUUGUUGCUAGUGGGCUGGGUCGCUAUAGAUGCUGCGGAUAUAAAAAUAUUUUUAUAAUAAAAUUUAUUUUUUUAAUAUUUUUAUAUAGUUUUAUAAGUCUAAUUAUUAAUUAAAUAAAAAUUAUAUAAAAAUGUUAAUAGUUAAAUCUAUUUAAAUAAAAGUCAUUAAAAUUAGUAUAUGCGCAAAGUAAAUUUAUACAAUAAUUUAUUUUAUAAAAAUUUAUAUAAAAAGAACUUAAG
rnacentral:lncRNA from 1 species